UACGUAGGGUGCAAGCGUUGUCCGGAAUUAUUGGGCGUAAAGAGCUCGUAGGCGGUCUGUUGCGUCGGCUGUGAAAACCCGAGGCUCAACCUCGGGCCUGCAGCCGAUACGGGCAGACUAGAGUUCGGCAGGGGAGACUGGAAUUCCUGGUGUAGCGGUGAAAUGCGCAGAUAUUAGGAAGAACACCAGUGGCGAAGGCGGCUCACUGGUCCGGUACUGACGCUGAUGUGCGAAAGCGUGGGGAGCAAACAGG
rnacentral:rRNA from 1 species